rnacentral:misc_RNA from 1 species
UUUCCGUAGGUGAACCUGCGGAAGGAUCAUUGUCGAAACCUGCCUAGCAGAUUGACCAGCGAACAUGUUUAUCGUAAGUGGAGCGGGGUGCCCUAGCGAAGCCUUACGGACGAGCUAUUGCCCCCUCCUCCCGACGUUGGGUGGUGCUCCUCUCUGAGGGGUGCUGCUCGAUGCAACAACGAACCCCGGCGCGGUCUGCGCCAAGGAACAUGAACUUGAGCGUGCUCGUCUUGUGCCCGGGUCACCGGCGCAUGGGAGUGGAUGCACCCAAUAUUGAGUAUUAAACGACUCUCGGCAACGGAUAUCUUGGCUCUC